rnacentral:misc_RNA from 1 species
UUUUUAUUAUUAUUAUUAUUUUCAAUGCAAGUGUUUACAUGCUAAGCAAUAGAUACAAGGCAUUAACCAUUAGUGAAUGAAUAAUUCACACAGCAGAAUGCAAAAUCACAUGGAAUAAAACACUAUACCAUAAAAGAAAUAACUGCAUGAAGAGGCCAUAUGAAGUAAGAAAACAUGGAAUGUAAUCUACGUUGCUUUUACAUGAGAUUGGUAAGAAAGUUUAGCAUACACUGAAAGGUCCUUUCAUAUUUUGUGCGUAAUACAUCAUUCAUAAGCCUUUACGUUGUCAGUCAUUUAGAUUAAUAUAUGCAAAUGCUAUAACAAGUAACAACAUAAUCCAACUCCUACAACAAUGAAUGUUGCAAAUAGUUCAUCCUUUAAAUCAAUAUGAGGUGUCCAAUAGGCAGACCAAAUGAUAUCAACUU